rnacentral:rRNA from 1 species
UACAGAGGGUGCGAGCGUUAAUCGGAAUUACUGGGCGUAAAGGGCUCGUAGGCGGCCAACUAAGUCACACGUGAAAUCCCCAGGCUUAACCUGGGAACUGCGUGUGAUACUGGAUGGCUUGAAUUCGGGAGAGGGAUGCAGAAUUCCAGGUGUAGCGGUGAAAUGCGUAGAUAUCUGGAGGAAUACCGGUGGCGAAGGCGGCAUCCUGGACCGACAUUGACGCUGAGGAGCGAAAGCUAGGGGAGCAAACGGG